rnacentral:rRNA from 1 species
UACAGAGGUCUCGAGCGUUAGGCGGAAUCACUGGGCUUAAAGCGUGUGUAGGUGGAUCGUUAAGUACCUUGUGAAAUCCCACGGCUUAACCGUGGAACUGCUUGGUAUACUGGCGGUCUUGAGCCACUUAGGGGCUACCGGAACAAAUGGUGGAGCGGUGAAAUGCGUAGAUAUGCGGAGGAACACCGAUGGCGAAGGCAAUCCCCUGGACCUGUACUGACGCUCAUGCACGAAAGCGUGGGGAGCAAACAGG